CUCUUCUGUCAUCAUCUUCCUCUCAUUUGCUUCAGCCACAGCCACCACUUUCUUUGUCCCAAGAGACUGUUUUUUAUGGGUCCGGUUUGUUUGAGAAUGCGAGUGCAGUCUCUGAUGGAUCCGGUAAUGAGGCUGUACCUCUUCCACAAACCUUCCCUCCGUUUCACUGGUAGAUAGAAUCAGAAAGAUGUUUGUCUGCGUCGUCUCGUUCUCUAUUCUCUUCUCUUUCUCUCUAGUUUUUCAAAGUUUUGUAAUUUAUAAGCAGUACACUGUUGUAGCAUGAUGCAAGUUUCAACAAUUACGUUUAAAGCAGAACUUUACUAAAUUUUUGGAAAAACAAAGACCAUACCACUCGUUUAAAGAUUAGUUUGGACAUCUACAUGAACUUGAAAUAUACUAAAGUAAAAAAACAGAGUAAAAUUUUGGAUAAUCAGAUGCUUUAUACAAUUUAUAUUUAGAUUGAUUGUGAUUUUUUUUUGUCACAGUUUGAUUGAUUGUAAUUUUAAUUGGAUAUAAUGACGUUAACAGAAUUAGUUGGUAUAAUUAAAUUAUUGUUCACACCAAGUGAAAUUCAGGCUAACGACAAUCUUAUGACUUUUUAAAAAGGUUGUGCUCUAUCAUCUCUAACUUAUGUUUGGAAGAUUUUCAGUUUUGAAAAAUGUAAAUGUCAGCUUAAAAUUUUCAAAUUCUAGUUCCAUGAAGAACAAAUAUUGUUUAAUCAUACACAUUAAAUUCUAUACUAUUUUCAACGAUAUUAAAAUUUUAGUAUAAUUUGCUUUUCUCAACAACAUAUCAGGUCUAAAUUAGAUACCAAACUACUAACAUAAACUGAUGAGUUACAUGUUUAAUGUUUUUUCAUAUAAAAUAUAUAAAAAAUUAACUAAUGAUGCUGUGUAUUUUUCAUAUCAUUUCAUUUAAUUAUCAUAAAUUCAGACUUGUUGGAUGGCAAACAAAUUGAUAAAGAAAAAUUGGUUAUAUACAUUAAGUUGUCUAUCAUUUUUAAAUUUUAUAUUCAAUAAAAAUAUUUUAACAUUUGAAUUUAUGGUUUAGUAAUUAUUGUUUAAGAUUUAGGUUUAUAAAUUUUUAUAAAUGUUUUAUAAACUAUCCUUAAACAUUAUAAAUAAUUUAAAAGAGUUAAUUUAUUUUUUGUCAAAAAUUUGAAGUAUUUAAUAAAAUAAUUAUCAAUUAAGGAUAAAUUUUUAAAAUAAUAACAAACUUGUUACAAAAUUAAAAAUUUCGUAAGCAAACGCAAAAGUUAGCAAAUGAACAAACAACAAUAACAGCUGUCCCUUUGCUCCACUCUCUCUCUCUCUCUAAAGAAGGAUAUCAACAAUUCCUAUAUUAGGAAAGCAAAUAAACAAUUAAAUUAAGCUUCAUUUUUAAACUUAGUAAUAUAUUACUUUUUUCUUCACUUUCUCUUGUGCAUUAUUGCAGCAGCAGCCACUCUCGUUGUCUCCACUUUCUCUCGCUAAACCCAUCAACUCUCUUUCUCACUUGUCAAUAUUUUGUAGAUUUCGCUCUUCUCUUUUUUGAGUUUCUUCUACUGACCAUUGGUAGGUGCAUGGAUUUGGUCAGAUUUCUCAACCUUCAAAUACCAAGCUUUUCUUAUUUUAUAAUUUAUGAAUAACAUGUUUCAUCUUUCUUUAAUCUCUGUCUCUUUAUUGCAUUAAAUUCUUGCUUUCAAGUGAGUGACAUAAAUAAAAAAGAGAGAGGGGUUUUAUGAUGAAGUGAAACUCAAAACUGCAAGUUUAUAUAUUUGCUUUAUUUUUAUUUUGUUUUGCUUUCUUCCCAUUACAUGGGAUCUGUUCUAGUUCUAUAUAUCUGCACUUCCCAUUUGUUUUUUCAGUACAGUAAGUUUGCCCAUUUUUGGGAUUUUUUAAUUUUUUUAAAAAAAAAUUCUUCAAAAUUCAAGAUUAAUCGAGUUAAAAAAUUUCAUGUUUGAAAGUUGAAUUUAUUGUAUCCUUUUCUUAAACCUGUCAAUUUAGAUUAACAAAACCAAAAGGAUAAAUCUUGAUAUUUUUGUUUCUAUGUAUGUCUUCUUUUAGUGAGUGAAGAAGGAGAAGGAAAAAAGCUUUAAAUGGAUUGGAACUUCAAACUCAGCUCCGGUUAUUUCUCUGAAUUCGACCAAGAAUCUGUACCGGAUUUAACCCCAGUCGAUGCAUCGAUCUCGUUCGGUAGGUCAUCCUCACCACCAAGAAGAUUGCAGCCAAAAGGAAAUUUACCAUUUGAUCUGAAACUUGGAAGAAACAUUGUAAACUCCUCUUCUUCCUCCUCCUCCUCUGCUUUUGGCAAGACAGAGAAAGUGAUAAGUCUUAGUAAGUUGAAAGAGAGCGCCUCUGAGGCUUCAAGAAGCUCCAAGAGGACAAGAGGGAACAACCAGAUCCCGAUUUGUCUGGUUGAUGGAUGUGAUUCUGAUUUUAGUAACUGUAGAGAGUAUCAUAAAAGACAUAAAGUCUGUGAUGUCCAUUCUAAAACUCCUGUGGUUACAAUCAAUGGCAAUAAUCAGAGGUUUUGUCAACAAUGCAGCAGGUAAAAACUGAUUGUAUUCAUAUGUUGGAUAAUGUUAACAUCUGUGUAUAUAUUGCUGAGGGUGCAUUUGCACAUACUACAGUUUUUUUGUGUUAUUUUAGCCUAGAUUAAAGCCUAAUUUUUUAAAAAUAUAUAUUUUAUUUAAAGAAAUGAAUUCCAAAAAACAAAAAAAUUUAGCUCAUGGUCCACUUUGUUUUUGAGAUAGGUUUCAUGGUUUGGAAGAGUUUGAUGAAGGUAAGAAAAGUUGUAGGAAACGUCUUGAUGGACACAAUCGAAGAAGACGGAAGCCUCAGCCCGACCAUACCGAUCGUACUGCAACUUUCUUCCAAGGUUUUUGCUUUUCUUCUUUUAAAAAAUAAAAAAUAAAUUCUUUUUUUUUUUUGGAUCCAAUAGACUUAAGAGUCCCUAAGCACCAUCUUGUUAACAGGUAGCAAAUUGCUGGAUUUUUCAAGCUCUCCACACGUGUUUCCAACUACAUCUGUUGUGAGUCCGAGCUGGGGAAGCGGUCCUGUAAGCGUAGCUAUGGCCAAUGGUUCAAGUUACGGGCAGAACCAGAGCUAUGUUGGUUCUUUUCCUGCAAAGACAGGCAUUACGUUCCCGAUAUCUUCUUCUCCAAACAGCAGAGGGAAACAGUUCCCUUUCUUGCAAGAAGAAGAGGACAGCUCGAGAAUGACGAGUUGCAUCCAUGACUCUGAUUGCGCUCUCUCUCUUCUGUCAUCAUCUUCCUCUCAUUUGCUUCAGCCACAGCCACCACUUUCUUUGUCCCAAGAGACUGUUUUUUAUGGGUCCGGUUUGUUUGAGAAUGCGAGUGCAGUCUCUGAUGGAUCCGGUAAUGAGGCUGUACCUCUUCCACAAACCUUCCCUCCGUUUCACUGGUAGAUAGAAUCAGAAAGAUGUUUGUCUGCGUCGUCUCGUUCUCUAUUCUCUUCUCUUUCUCUCUAGUUUUUCAAAGUUUUGUAAUUUAUAAGCAGUACACUGUUGUAGCAUGA
rnacentral:lncRNA from 1 species